rnacentral:rRNA from 1 species
UGGGGAAUAUUGCACAAUGGGCGCAAGCCUGAUGCAGCCAUGCCGCGUGUGUGAAGAAGGCCUUCGGGUUGUAAAGCACUUUCAGCGAGGAGGAAGGUGGUGAGCUUAAUACGCUCAUCAAUUGACGUUACUCGCAGAAGAAGCACCGGCUAACUCCGUGCCAGCAGCCGCGGUAAUACGGAGGGUGCAAGCGUUAAUCGGAAUUACUGGGCGUAAAGCGCACGCAGGCGGUUUGUUAAGUCAGAUGUGAAAUCCCCGGGCUCAACCUGGGAACUGCAUUUGAAACUGGCGAGCUAGAGUCUCGUAGAGGGGGGUAGAAUUCCAGGUGUAGCGGUGAAAUGCGUAGAGAUCUGGAGGAAUACCGGUGGCGAAGGCGGCCCCCUGGACGAAGACUGACGCUCAGGUGCGAAAGCGUGGGGCAGCAAACAGGAUUAGAUACCCUGGUAGUCCACGCUGUAAAACGAUGUCGAUUUUGGAGGUUGUGCCCUUGAGGCGUGGCUUCCGGAGCUAACGCGUUAAAUCGACCGCCUGGGGAGUACGGCCGCAAGG